GCCAGUGUGGUGUAAUGGUUUGAAUGCUGGACUCUGACUGGAGACCAGAGUUCGAUUCCCAGCUCAGCCA